AAGUCAAAAUUAAGACAGAGGAUUUAUAGCUACUGAGUACAGGAAAAACAAAGAAUGUUUUAACAUAUGGAUAAAAGAGGUAGUGAUUGAGGGAAAGAAUGCAAAAACACAAUACACCAAUGACCUCCUCAUCAGUUCUACAACCUAACCAAAGCCCAUAUUCUGAGCUUUCUCUAAAAACCAGGAAUACAAGCUGGAAAAACGGAGGGACGAAGAGGACAGACUCAACUCUCGGACGGGACCGCCAGCAUCCGUCACACCUACAUCGGGUGGAAAGACCAACGAGUAUGUGAGAAAACCAUGUUUGAAGCAUUUGUCUGCAUGUUACAACAGGCUGGUGGGCAACAUAUGGAGCACAAACCCAAA